GACUGCGGGCGGCCGUGCAGCUGGUCGAGUCCGGAGGGGGCCUCCAGACCCCCGGGGGGUCCCUGACCCUCCUCUGCAAGGCCUCCGGCUUCACCUUCAGCAGCUACGCCAUGUACUGGGUGCGACACGCGCCCGGGAAGGGGAUCGCGUGGGUCGCGCUUAUUACCAACACUGGUAGUACCGCAUACUACGUGCCGUUGGUCCAGGGACGCUUCACCAUCUCCAGGGACAACGCCCAGAGCACGGUGACGCUGCAGAUGAACAGCCUCAGGGCUGACGACACGGCCACCUACUACUGCACGAGAGGUGCUGGUGGUGGACUGUUUGCCUGUUUGCCCCAAGCGUCAACAGCAUUUGCCCCAAGUCUUGAACUACUUGCCCCAAGCCUUGAACUACUUGCCCCAAACCUCAACUGUUUUCCCCACAUCUUGACAG